AGGGGUCCGCCUGCCCAGUGACCUCAAAGGUUAAACGGCCGCGGUAUCUUGACCGUGCAAAGGUAGCAUAAUCACUUGUCUUUUAAAUGGAGACCUGUAUGAACGGCAAAACCUUUUCAAACUGUCUCCCUCCCUAACCUUUUAAACUCCUUUUCACGCGAAGAAGCGUGAAUAUAUCAGAAAGACGAGAAGACCCUGUCGAGCUUCAGCCAACAAGUGAGCUAACAAAACCUAUGUAUUAACAUCACCCAAAGGCUUUGGUUGGGGUAACCAUGGAGAACAUUAAUCCUCCAGAACAAGCAGACGAACUCUCUUCCCUACUAAACGAACUAAAGAACCAGGAACUGGUAAUCGGAAAAAGUUACCGCAGGGAUAACAGCGUCAUCCCCUUUAAGAGUCCUUAUUGACAAGGGGGUUUGCGACCUCGAUGUUGGAUUGGGGCCCCCUUAGGGUGCAGAAGCUCUAAACGGUUAGACUGUUCGUCUAUUAAAGCCCUACGUGAUCUGAGUUCAGACCGGAAUUA
rnacentral:rRNA from 1 species